rnacentral:snoRNA from 14 species
GGAUCGAAUGAUGAUUUUUCCAAUAAAAAAUUCCUGUGGAAAGCUGAACAAAAUGAGUGAAAUACCAAUACCGGCCACUAUCCAUCGUGACUGAGGUCA